CCAUGGAGAUAGAUGCAGUAUAAAAGCCUCAGUAGCUAGCUAGAUUGGAUUGAUAGCGGCACACUAAUCAUCAAUAGCACCGUACCACUAGAUCCUACAGCAAAGAAAGGCCAUGAACAACACUGAUACACAACAGCGAUUAUUGUGACAUCUUAAGAACUUUUCAUAUACUGUAGUGAGGAGGCAUGGCCUCCUUUGGGCACAGAGCGAAUGCCACAAGCCACCUGGAGGGCGGAGCCAGGAGGGCCAUGCCCCACAUGCCAGAAGCAGACGGGCAGAACAAGAAGAAGUAUAAAAGGAUGGCCCAGCAGCUCAGUUGACAGGGAGCUGUUGAAGGAGACAAAAAGAACAGAAGUACUUGUGGCACCUUAGAGACUAACAACUUCAUGAAGGAGACAGAUGCUUUUUCCCUGCUGCUGGAGUGGGACACCAAGGAGAACUGCUGCUGCCCCGGAGACCAGCCUGAGCUUCCAGAGAGCCCUGCCACACCUGAUGCUGAGGAGCUGCUGCUGCUACUCUUUGCAGUGGAUCCCAGGGAGACUGAGGAUGACCCCUGGACGCAGAAGACUCUAGCAGUAGCCGACCAAACUGUGAGGAGGCGUGACCUCUUUCCGCCACAGAUGCACGCCAGCUUAUGUGUACUUUUUACAGUUCAGAAUUAAGGAACACUUGCUGGUCCAAUUAUCACAACAGGUCACACUUUAAAGACUGUUAAAACUUUAAAAGAAGAUCAGAGGGGUAUGUGUGCUGGUGCGAUGGCUGAAGCAUGUUAUGUGGAAAGAUUACAUCUGAAUAUGUGUAACAGAAACAAAAGGGGGAAGUCUGUAUAAUAAACAUCAGUAGAUUUACUGUCUUAGUAGCUUUUGUUUAAAAGCUAUUCUUAGAAUUCCAAAUAUUAUUAACAAUGUUCUGUACUAUUUACACUGUGUUGGCAUGCAUCGAAUGUUUGUUUUACUAAGAAAGGAUACUCUUUGAAAUUGGGAAAUAUAUGUAAAACCCUGGUAAAUAAAGGUAAAUAAUAGCCCUGCAGUUUACACUACUAAAUGUCUGCCCAAAGAGCAGCCUGGUGAUAAUGAACAACCAAGAAAGCUGCAGAGAGAGUGGACUUCAAUAUCACCUGAAUGAAGAACAUGAUAAACUUUGCAUUUGUUGCAAGCUGGUGGGUUUUAUCUCUUUAAAGGCACAAACAGAUCUUAUUUAUUCUUCCGAAUGUUGCAGGAAAGGGCUGGACAUUGCAGAGCUCAUAGGUUUGAGAAAGUUCAGAACUGGGUUUUGUUAGGGUCACCUGCUACCAUCAAUCAAGUCUGGUGAAGACAAGAGUGUCUGUGAUAACUGCUGGCAGGCUGUUGGAUUCAAAGUGAUUGCUGUACAGCCCUCAUUCACACCGAACAUGAACUGCAUGCUGGCUGCAUCUGUGUCCUAGGAAGAGAGCCACAAGCAGCAGAUGCAUUUUGGGGCAUUAUAAUACAAGCAGUGAUACAACCUCUCACUGGUCUAAAUUGCACCUCAGAAUGUGACAUAGCAUCCCCAAGAAAUUGAUCAAGCUGAUAGAAAACAUCUAUAGCAAGUUGAGUGUGGUGAGAGUUAACAAGGAGAUGACAGAAUGAUUCAGGAUGAUAUGAAUAGAAUAUCAGGACAUAGAAAUGAGACAAAGAUGCAUAUUAUCACCGGAUUUGUUCAACUCGGUACUGGAAGCAGUAAUGACCAUAGCACUGAGAAAUGAAACAGGAGGAGUCAUGUUAUGUGGGAGGAUAGUGCACCUUAGAUUUGCAGAUGAUAUUGACUUCACAGCACUGACCAAGAAGUUUUACAGAGAAUAACUGACAGAGCAGAAAAUUCUGAAGACUGAUGAUGCAUUGGAUAGGCACAGUGAAGAAUGACCUAGAACAAAAAGGUUUACAGAUGUAUAAAAGCUGAGAUGCUGGCACAAGAUAAAAAGUGGUGGAAGAAUUUAAUUCAGCCCUUUCACUGCUGCUGAGCUGGUGGACAGGAAUCAAAGAAGAAGCCGGGAGGUUUAGCUCUGUGUAAUGCUUUCUGAAAAGACAGAACUUUGACCUGUGCUUCAGCAAAAAGUUAAGCUGAGGUGCAGGAAGAAGGGGAGUGUAGUUACACAGAAUACUGCCUGAGCAUCCCCUGCUUCCCUCCAUUACAUCUGCACCUGUGCACAGCCCCAUUGACAUCAACAGGGCUCCACAUGGGCAAAGGGCUGUCGGGGCAGAACUGAUGGCAGGAUUCGGACCCACAUGUGGAGAGCAGGACUGGAUAGGUGCACAUUCUACUCCACAAAAGCUAGUGCUGGCGUUUAGUGUUAAUCACAAGACUCAGCUUUUUAAGGAGAAACUUGUUUAGCCUGGAAAUCCAAAUCUUUUUCUUUAGGAAGCUUCUUGCAGACAGAGACCUCUUCAGUACAUAGCUACAGGCUAAACUCUGCAGCUGGCAUUCUGCAUACUGUCGCCUCUACAGUAGCUCACUCACUGUGCCCCCACUCCAAUGGCAGCUCCCAUUUCUUAUUCUAUAAUUUAUAUCGUAUUAACAACAUUCAAAAGGAUUACUAAACAUUCUGAACCGAUUUCUAAAAUAUUGAUUGCAGGGACCUCACACUGACCCUGUGCCUUUCUUCUAGGACUCAGACUUUCCCUCUGGAAUGUAUAUUAUCAUUUUAUAUGUCAGUGUAACACAUGAGGGUGAUAUACCAACCCAGUUUUACUGGGGCUGUAUUAAGGCAUAGGCACUAUGGGCUUGUGUUUAGGGCCUAGCUCCUGGAAUUAUUAUUACCUCAGAAUCUCAGCUUUCAGGGCAGGGGGAGAGAGUUUCUAGUUCUCAUGGGUGUGAAGAGAAGUUUAAAAUGGGACCUGGUUUAACUGAUUCAUUAAUGUUUGCAGAGAGCCUGCAAUGAUGGCUUGGAGAAGUGCGUGAAGUCCUGAACACCGUAUGGAGAUGAAUAGCUCCAAGCUGCCCACUGCUCUGGGGUAUCCUGCCCUACAUCACCCUAAAAGAGGACUGUGUGUGACAGGAAGAUAAAUGCAGCAGGUCCUGCCCACUUACUCAGAUGCAUGCUGGAGUAAGAAAUGGAGGCACCCUCCCCCCCUCCUGCUGCCACCCCUGUUUCUCCAGACCGUGGGAGGGGACAUCUACUGCUGCUCCCAAAGGGAGGGAGAGGCCCUGUUGUUGCUCCCAGGAAUGCCGGGAUGCUCCUUGCUGCCUUUCUGGGAUGAGAGAGGGCGUCCCAGCUGCUGCCUCAUCUUGUGAUGUCCCUAGGGCCCUGCAUUGCCUUAGUCUGGCCCUAAAUUUACGCCAGAGUAAUGCCAUUUAUUUGAAAACAAAUAAGCCUUGUGUCGUGCUGCUUGGUAUGCGAUAUGGCCAAGAGCGCCAAUCUCAGGACAGACUGCCAGAACAUAGGGCCUCUACCCCAGACUGGUAGUGUAUUAUACCAUAACACUUCACCAUGCCUGUAACAAAUGCGUGCUUCCAAAAUACUGCCCGUGUUGUUAUGGAGCCACAGACAGUCUCCUUCAGGCCCACUAGCCCAGGGGUGGGCAAACUUUUUGGCCCGAAGGCCACAUCUGGGUGGGGAAAUUUCAAGCAGGGCCAUGAAUAUAGGGCUGGGGCAGGGGGUUGGGGUGCGGGAGGGAGUGUGUGGUGUGGGAUGGGGCUCAGGACAAGGGAUUGGGCAGAGGAGGGAUGCAGGGUGUACAAGGGGGCUCAAGGCAGGGGAUUGGGGUGCAACAGAGGGCUGAGGGAAGGGGGUUGAGGUGCAGGAAGGGUGCGGCAUGGGGCUCAGGGCAGGGGGUUGGGGUGUGGCAGGUGGCUCAGGGCAGGGGGUCGGGGUGCAGGAGGGGUUUGCGGUGUGGGCUCCAGCUUGGCACCGCUUACCUUAAGUGGCUCCGUGGUGGAAACUGCAUGCAGCGGGGCUAAGGCAGGCUCCGUGCCUGCCCUGGCCCUGCACCGGUCCUGGAAGCAGCCGGCACCACGUCUCUUGCAGCCCCUGGGUGAGGUGGGGCAGAGGGCUCCGUGCGCUACCCUCACCUGCGAGUACCUCCCCCGAUGCUCCCUUGGCCACGGUUCCCCUUUCCCAGCCAAUGGGAGCUGCAGGGGGAGUACCCGCAGGCGAGUAUCUGCCCCACCCCCUCCCCCAGGGGCCGCAGGGAUAUGGUGCCGGACGCUUCUGGGAGUGGUGCAGGGCUCGUGGCGCCAUGGGUGUGGCAAUCCUGCGGGCCAGAUCCAAAGCCCGGUUGGGCUCUAGACUCUCAUGCACCACCCAGACAAACCAGACUUCUAUGAUUAGUGAUUAUUAAAACCAGAAAUCCCAUAUAUUAGGUUCUUCCAGUUCCAAAGAACCAGACACCCACCCCAUGUCAAUAUAUACUUCAGAUCUUACCAAAUACCAUGCUGCAGCCCAUCUUUAGUUAAAGAUUUAUUUAUAAAAAAGAAAGUUAUUAAAUGGUUGAAAUGAAUCAUAUACAUUACAGUUGAUUUCAGAGUUUGCAGAUCACGAUAAUAGCAGUGAUGUUAAAUCUCCUAGCCUGCGGUACGUCUCUCUAGAUCACCCAAAAGACUGUGGGUCCUCAGUCCGUUGUUCAAAGCUUUCCUUUGUUAGAAAUCAUAGUCCAGAGCGCUGGAGCAGGAAAGAGACAAAGAGAUGUCACAGUUUUCAAUAUAUACCCCCCGCUCCAGUCCAUGUGCAUGGAAAGUUACUGGCACAAACAUGGAGUCAGGGAUCACGUGUUCUACCUGCCUCGCUGAGUCCCUGGGGAUCCCUUGUCUAAAUGCUCUCUGAGGCAUCCUCAGGAGGAGCCCAUUGAAAGAGCCUGAUUCUCCUUAAUGGCCUGUCAACGAUGGCUGACUGGUCUUGCUGUAAAUCUGUCUUGUGGGAGUUACUCAAGAACACAAUGUUUGAGAUACAAACACAGAGCAAAGAUUCAUAAUUUCAUAUAAGUGAUAAUACACACAUGUAAACAGGAUAACAUUGUUCAACAGAUCACAACUUUUCCAAUGAUACCCUGCAAGGCAUAUUUUGUAUAAGAUUUAUCACAAUUGUGCAAUAGUGUUGAUAGAUCAGUGGUGAUCUUUCUUUUUCUACAGCAUAACAAGUUGUCCAUGAGAGAACUAUAAAAUGUACUAUAUGUCUACAAAGAAAAUCCAGACAAGUUAAAGCCCCAGGAGUGGUGUUUUUAUUAUUAUUUAUUAAUUACUUGUCCAGAUUUUCUUUGUACAAUUAUACUAAACAUCCUGGUGUCCUCAUGGAAAGAGUGAAUUGGUUUUGACUUUCAUUUAAGGUUGUUGUAAGAGCAGGGGGGAAAAUGCUGUGACAGGGGAAAACUCAUUCUUUGUUCCCUUUGAUUCUCAAUGCUGCAUUCAUUAAAUCCAAAGAGAGAUUUUUCUCUUUGCUGUGGAAAAACAUGGAAAGAAAUUUCAACUUUUAAAAAUUGACUUUGUUGGUAAAGGCAGCCAUUGUUUCUUUGAGCUGUGUUUGCCUACCUGCUAUUUUUAGUCUGUCUGUUUAAAUUGGCUUUUUCACAUGCUGCCACCAGCAUUGGAAUUUUUUCAUUAAUAGAUGGAAAUGAUGGAAUUGUCAAUAAUGCAGAAAAGGUAAAAGCAUUCAAUAAACAUUUCUGUUCUGCAUUUGGGAAAAAGCCAGAAGAUGCAUUUCAUCAUCAGCAUAUGAUAUGAAUACUUUCAUUCCAACAGUAGCUAGGAGGAUAUUAGACCUCUUUUAAAUCAGCAGGUCUAGAUAAAAUCAAAGAGUUUUAAAAGAGUUGGCUGAGGAGCUUGCUGGACUGUUAACAUUGACUUUGUUCCAACACUCAUUUAAAAAAAAAAUCAGGAAGUUCCAGAAAGUCUGGAAGAAAGCUAAUGUUAUGCCAAUAUUUAAAAAAAAAGGUAAGUCUGAUAACCUGUAAGCCUAACAUCGAUCCUGGGCAAAAUAAUAGAACAGCUGAGAUGGGAUUUGAUUAAUAAAUAAUUAAAAGUGGAUGAUAUAGUUAAUGCCAAUCAACAUGGGUUUAUGGAAAAUAGAUCUUGUCACACUGACUACAUCUUUUUUUAUGAUCACUUUGAUUGACGGACAUAAUAGUGUUGUUGUAAUAUACUUAAACUUCUGUAAGGCAUUUGACUUCAUGGUACUGCAUAACAUUUUGAUGAAGAGGCUAGAAUGAUAAAAAAAAAUCAAUAUGGCACAAAUUAAAUGGAUUAAAAACUGACAGAUCUC